GCCUUAGUGCAAUAGGCAGCUCAUCAGUCUCAUAAUCUGAAGGCCUGAGUUUGCCCCUCAGAGAGGCA
rnacentral:tRNA from 1 species